AGAAGCAAUACCGCGAGGUGGAGCAAAAACUUCAAAAAAUGGUCUCAGUUCGGACUGUAGGCUGCAACUCGCCUACACGAAGUUGGAAUUGCUAGUAAUCGUGGAUCAGCAUGCCACGGUGAAUACGUUCCCGGGUCUUGUACACACCGCCCGUCACACCAUGGGAGCUGGUAACACCCGAAGUCAGUAGUCUAACCGCAAGGAGGACGCUGCCGAAGGUGGGAUUAGCGACUGGGGUGAAGUCGUAACAAGGUAGC
rnacentral:rRNA from 1 species